AUUAUUCUCCCUCUGACAGAUGUCAAACCUGAGAGAGGUCAGGUUACUUUGACUUGCACAAAGUCACAAAGCUAAUAAGCAGCAGAGCAUGGGACUUGAAGACAAGUCCUUUGACUCUAAUUAAGGGCUGGACUUACCACCACUAUUCUUUGGGUGAUGGUGUUGCAGCAUCAUUUACAUGCCUCGAUGCAAGGGAACACAGAGUAAGAAACUGUCUUCAUCUCUAUCAGAGAUCCCUCCCUAGCUUAUGGCUAGAAAGACUGUGUGGCUGUUUGUGAGCCCAAAGAACUCUGAGCAUUGCAAAGACCAACCUUGGCUCCAGAGGACAGCUGAUGAAGCAUUCUACUCACAUCUGACAGACAGAGAGUAGAGCCCCCAAUUUGGCUCAAGUGUUUGAGCCAUGGAGAUGCAGAAGUUCAAGAAUAUGGCCUAGUUAUUGAGAACAGCCCAUCAGCUACAUCUUGAGGAUCAGGCAUUCAGGACUCAAGUCCAGCAGAAGCCAGCAGCCUUAUGUCAACUUUAGAUGUAAACAUGGUAGGACCAAUGCUUUGUAGGAGCUGAGAUAUAUUGUGAACUUAAUGUGCCCCCACUCCCAAGUUGUAU